rnacentral:rRNA from 1 species
GGUGACAGCCCCGUACACAAAAAUGCACAUACUGUGAGCUCGAUGAGUAGGGCGGGACACGUGGUAUCCUGUCUGAAUAUGGGGGGACCAUCCUCCAAGGCUAAAUACUCCUGACUGACCGAUAGUGAACCAGUACCGUGAGGGAAAGGCGAAAAGAACCCCGGCGAGGGGAGUGAAAAAGAACCUGAAACCGUGUACGUACAAGCAGUGGGAGCACGCUUAGGCGUGUGACUGCGUACCUUUUGUAUAAUGGGUCAGCGACUUAUAUUCUGUAGCAAGGUUAACCGAAUAGGGGAGCCGAAGGGAAACCGAGUCUUAACUGGGCGUUAAGUUGCAGGGUAUAGACCCGAAACCCGGUGAUCUAGCCAUGGGCAGGUUGAAGGUUGGGUAACACUAACUGGAGGACCGAACCGACUAAUGUUGAAAAAUUAGCGGAUGACUUGUGGCUGGGGGUGAAAGGCCAAUCAAACCGGGAGAUAGCUGGUUCUCCCCGAAAGCUAUUUAGGUAGCGCCUCGUGAAUUCAUCUCCGGGGGUAGAGCACUGUUUCGGCAAGGGGGUCAUCCCGACUUACCAACCCGAUGCAAACUGCGAAUACCGGAGAAUGUUAUCACGGGAGACACACGGCGGGUGCUAACGUCCGUCGUGAAGAGGGAAACAACCCAGACCGCCAGCUAAGGUCCCAAAGUCAUGGUUAAGUGGGAAACGAUGUGGGAAGGCCCAGACAGCCAGGAUGUUGGCUUAGAAGCAGCCAUCAUUUAAAGAAAGCGUAAUAGCUCACUGGUCGAGUCGGCCUGCGCGGAAGAUGUAACGGGGCUAAACCAUG